AUAGCACAAAAUAAUAGCAAGUCGACGAAAUUGAGAAGACAUUAUAUUACUGGAAAGAUCUAAGCUAGCCACAACAACAGUUGAUAUUAAGAAACAAU
rnacentral:sRNA from 1 species